rnacentral:rRNA from 1 species
GACGAACGCUGGCGGCGUGCUUAACACAUGCAAGUCGAACGAUGAAGCCGGAGCUUGCUCUGGUGAAUUAGUGGCGAACGGGUGAGUAACACGUGAGUAACCUGCCCUUGACUCUGGGAUAACUGCGGGAAACUGUAGCUAAUACCGGAUACGACCCUCGGAGGCAUCUCCUGGGGGUGGAAAGAAUUUCGGUCAAGGAUGGACUCGCGGCCUAUCAGCUAGUUGGUGAGGUAAAGGCUCACCAAGGCGACGACGGGUAGCCGGCCUGAGAGGGUGACCGGCCACACUGGGACUGAGACACGGCCCAGACUCCUACGGGAGGCAGCAGUGGGGAAUAUUGCACAAUGGGCGCAAGCCUGAUGCAGCAACGCCGCGUGAGGGAUGACGGCCUUCGGGUUGUAAACCUCUUUUAGCAGGGAAGAAGCGAAGGUGACGGUACCUGCAGAAAAAGCACCGGCUAACUACGUGCCAGCAGCCGCCGUAACAC